rnacentral:rRNA from 1 species
AUUGAACGCUGGCGGCAUGCUUUACACAUGCAAGUCGAACGGCAGCGCGGGCUUCGGCCUGGCGGCGAGUGGCGAACGGGUGAGUAAUGCAUCGGAACGUGCCCAGUAGUGGGGGAUAGCCCGGCGAAAGCCGGAUUAAUACCGCACACGACCUGCGGGUGAAAGCGGGGGACCGAUAGGCCUCGCGCUAUUGGAUCGGCCGAUGUCGGAUUAGCUAGUUGGUGUGGUAAAGGCUUACCAAGGCGACGAUCCGUAGCUGGUCUGAGAGGACGACCAGCCACACUGGCACUGAGACACGGCCCAGACUCCUACGGGAGGCAGCAGUGGGAAAUUUUGGACAAUGGGGGCAACCCUGAUCCAGCCAUGCCGCGUGAGGGAAGAAGGCCUUCGGGUUGUAAACCGCUUUUGUUCGGGAAGAAAUCCUCUGGGCUAAUACACCGGGGGGAUGACGGUACCGGAAGAAUAGGCACCGGCUAACUACGUG